rnacentral:rRNA from 1 species
GACGAACGCUGGCGGCGUGCCUAAUACAUGCAAGUAGAACGCAGUUGCGAACGGGUGAGUAACGCGUAGGUCACUGCCUGGUAGCGGGGGAUAACUAUUGGAAACGAUAGCUAAUACCGCAUACUACCAGAUGGACCUGCGUUGUAUUAGCUAGUUGGUGUGGUAACGGCCCACCAAGGCAACGAUAAAUAGCCUACCUGAGAGGGUGAUCGGCCACACGGGGACUGAGACACGGCCCAGACUCCUACGGGAGGCAGCAGUAGGGAAUCUUCGGCAAUGGGGGGAACCCUGACCGAGCAACGCCGCGGGAGUGAAGAAGGUUUUCGGAUCGUAAAGCUCUGUUGUUAAGGAAGCGGUACUUAACCAGAAAGGGACGGCUAACUACGUGCCAGCCGCCGCGGUAAUAC